AGAUGAUGGAGUUUGUUGGUUGUGCUGUGAGGAGCUGCACAUGAGAAAUCACAGAGAAGAGAGUUUUAAGACAGAAACAUUGCCUGAAGAGUUUUCCAAGGGAUUCUGAUCAACUUACCACGAAACAUUGCUGACCUUCUCCUGGCUGUGGGUCCUGAUGGGAGAGAGCUGGGGAGGGUCUGAAAAAGCGUGGUAAAAUCUGAACGCCAAUAUUGCAGCCCUUUGACCUCAAAUGUGUACAGCUGAAAAUUCAGAUCCCAUCUGGACCCAGGAAAUGUGGGCAAAGAAAGAAGGCAAAUGAAUGAAGCCUUCCAUGCUCUGGAGCUCAAGCAGAGAGGUUCUGCAGAUCACCUUGGAAAAUCCCAGUGCUCUCCAUGAAAACUCAUCUUUGUGCCACUGAGGCACAGGGCAACAGUAGGAACAGCCUUCAGGGAAUGCUUCACCUGGCACUGGGUUCCAAAGAGGCAUUUUUCAGACUGUGGCUUUACAGGCAGUUUUUAAGAGCCUCCUGGAAAUAUCUCCCAAUCCCAUGGCUCCACACAUUGCCAGCUGAAGAUGACCGCUUGUGAAACUGGACUUCAAGCCAAGUCUGUGGCAAAAAUAGACUGCAAAAACAAUGAAUCACAGCUCAGCACUGCUGCACAAUACUACACUAAUGCUGUUCUGCCAUUUUUUUGGGCUGCAAUCUCACCAUCUGUUAAUUGGCCCCAUGGCACAUUGCUGCGGGGUGCUGAGAUUCAUUGCAGGCCUACAGGAUGAUUGGUGUCUCCUGAGCCGCUCAGGACGGGGCCUCUCUGCUUUUCAGGUCCUGCUGCUGUUUACAUCAAGUGCCCUGAGACUGGGUAUCCCAGCUGCCAUCCUCCACCUGACUGCCUCAGCCUCAUUGCUAUUUUAUGACCAGAGAUUGUGUCUGAGCAGAAGGAUGUGAGUGCAUUGCUUGCCUUCGAGAAAAUCAGUUUGUGCCAAGGAGGACAGGAUUUUUAGACACUGCAACUGUCAGUUAACAUCACCUGGAAACCAAGUGUGAUGCUUUGAGUGGGGUGGGGCUGAUCUUCCACCCCAGCACUCAGCCUUGGCAUUGCUUCCACCAGGAUCAGAAUAAUUCCUGGCCAAGCUAAGACCCGUUUCUGUUUAUGUUCCUUUCUAAAACUUUCUAAAACUAAACUCUUUUUUCUCCACUGCACAUAUUUUCACAUUUGUGCUAAUGAAAGUGCUGGAUUGUUCUAGGGGAUCACAUGGAAAAUAUCUGUGAGCUUUGGCCAUCUCUCUGAAACACUACAGUCGAUUUGGUGUUUGCUUUGGCAUGUUGCUGUGAAAGAUUGUAGAGUGCUUGUGUUUAUAGGCAUACAGGGAAAGCGGGCUCCUGCUCAUUGUGCCUUUGUGAGGCUGCCAGACUGUCUGGCCCCAUCUAUUCUACUGUAAGUGAAAAGAGCCUCGCGAGUGCUCGCUGCGUGCUUGGACCAGGCUCUGCUAGGUACUAUGCUUGCUUGGAGGCCAUUCUGUCAGCUUGAAAAAUAUCUUUCUGCCUGAAUAGUGUUUACUCCCUGUUGUUACAAGUAACGUGUAAGAUUGCUUGUCAGUGAAGAAAAUUUUCCUUCUCCCCUUUGUUUCUUCUGUGUACUGGGCAGCUUUGCAUGUAGUGCAUUUUGGUGGCCCUCCUGUAGCAGGCAGCCAGCUGUCCUUUGAGAGCAAGAGAGGAUUUUCAUACAGAAUAAUGUGUGAAAAUUGGUGUUAUGAUGCAGCCCUGGUUGAAAAAUUUGGACUGUGCCCUUGAGGAAGGACUUUCCUCGUGUAGCCCGCUGCCUUCUAAAGGAAGAUAAGACACAGAUUUUCAGGUGGAAGGCUUUUCUGUCCAAGUGAGAUUUCUCUGCUUAGUGUAGAGAGUUAUUGCCCAGCUGAAAGCUCCUACAGCACCCUUUGAGAAGAUGAAGGAUGACUCCAGCAACUCCUCUAUUAAUUUUCCUGUCUACAACAAAGCUUGUUCUAAAAUUUAAUGAUAUCUGUGAGCUCCUGCUGAAAAGUCAUGGGCUGCAGGACCUGGAAUUGACUAGUAAUUAUAAAGUGCUUUGAUAUUAAACUUGGAGUCUGAAUAGCAGUUUGCAGAAUUCAGAUCUCCUUUCCUUUUUUAUGUGACAACAAAUAUUUAUCUCAGAUUUCCUUCUCUGGAAGGAACAUGUGGAAAACAAAUGUGCAUUGAUGGGAAUUGCUAGGUACCUGGCCCCAACCUGUAGCCUAGCAAUCAUUAAGUCCUCUCUGUAACUGCACUGAGUAUUUGGAGGAAGAAGCAAAUACUGCUGCAAUGGAUGAUUGCAACUAAACUGCAAACACACCUGCUCACUGCUUCCCGGAGAGCUCUGUCAGCUUUUGUUUCAAGCAGUGGCUCUGUUAAUUUCAGCAGGGGAGGUACAGUAGCUGAUGCUUAACAAUUAAUAUUUUUUGUUUUCUUUCAACUGUCACGCUUUGCCAGCCAGUUCUGCUUUACAAAAUCUGUAAGUAGGGAAGAUAGGUGUUUUCUUUUGUACAAUGGACAUCAAGGAAUUAAAGGAUUCAGGAAUUAAUGAAUAAUGCAGGCUGUUUUUACAACAAAUAUUCACUCUGCUACGUACACACUGAUACUGGGCUCAGACAUUUUGGUAUCAGCAACAGAGCCAAACCCCUAGGAGCAAAAGGUAAAUACACUUUUAUUCAGUGUCAGCCACCAAUCUCUUUCCAACUUUCAGGACUUACUUUUGUCAAUGAGGGACUUCUGCUUGAGAAUCUGGCCUGUUAGCUUGCA